CCUACGGGUGGCAGCAGUGAGGAAUAUUGGUCAAUGGGCUCGAGCCUGAACCAGCCAAGUCGCGUGAGGGAAGACGGCCCUAUGGAUUGUAAACCUCUUUUGUCGGGGAGCAAAAGACGCCACGCGUGGCGUUCCGAGAGUACCCGAAGAAAAAGCAUCGGCUAACUCCGUGCCAGCAGCCGCGGUAAUACGGAGGAUGCGAGCGUUAUCCGGAUUUAUUGGGUUUAAAGGGUGCGCAGGCGGAAGAUCAAGUCAGCGGUAAAAUUGAGGGGAUCAACCUCUUCGAGCCGUUGAAACUGGUGUUCUUGAGUGAGUGAGAAGUAUGCGGAAUGCGUGGUGUAGCGGUGAAAUGCAUAGAUAUCACGCAGAACUCCGAUUGCGAAGGCAGCAUACCGGCGCUCAACUGACGCUCAUGCACGAAAGUGUGGGUAUCGAACAGGAUUAGAUACCCCAGUAGUC
rnacentral:rRNA from 1 species